UACGUAGGUGGCGAGCGUUGUCCGGAAUUACUGGGUGUAAAGCGCGUGUAGGUGGCACGCCAAGUCUGCUGUGAAAUCGCCCGGCUCAACUGGGCGGGGUCAGUGGAAACUGGCGGGCUGGAGGACGGUAGAGGCAGGUGGAAUUCCCGGUGUAGUGGUGAAAUGCGUAGAGAUCGGGAGGAACACCCGUGGCGCAGGCGGCCUGCUGGGCCGGUCCUGACACUGAGACGCGAAGGCGUGGGGAGCGAACGGG
rnacentral:rRNA from 1 species